AAUUUUGGACAAUGGGGGCAACCCUGAUCCAGCCAUCCCGCGUGUGCGAUGAAGGCCUUCGGGUUGUAAAGCACUUUUGGCAGGGAAGAAAAGGCUCUGGUUAAUACCCGGAGCUGCUGACGGUACCUGCAGAAUAAGCACCGGCCAACUACGUGCCAGCAGCCGCGGUAAUACGUAGGGUGCAAGCGUUAAUCGGAAUUACUGGGAGUAAAGCGGGAGCAGGCGGUUUGGCAAGAAGGAUGUGAAAGCCCAGGGCUUAACCUUGGAACUGCAUUCUUAACUGCCAGGCUAGAGUAUGUCAGAGGGGGGGAGAAUUCCGCGUGUAGCAGUGAAAUGCGUAGAGAUGCGGAGGAAUACCGAUGGCGAAGGCAGCCCCCUGGGAUAAUACUGACGCUCAUGCACGAAAGCGUGGGGAGCAAAC
rnacentral:rRNA from 1 species